rnacentral:misc_RNA from 1 species
GUAUGAUUUGUUUCCUUCUGAAUUUUCACGGGAAAAAUCUUUUGGUUUUGGAUUCGGAUUUCUCUGUGCUGUGUUUGGUUGGGGAAAAAUCGAUGGUGCAGUUAGUGAAAUCCGGGAGUCCGCCGGCUGAACCCGAAACGACGUCAUCAAAUGGGAACAAGGUGCCGGUGAAACUAGAGAUCGUGGAGGAUGAGGAUCCCUUAGAGGAAGAGCAUGGG